CCAUAAAUUUCCAUUAUCUAUUCAUUCCAAUUUAGAUAUAGGAACGAAAUUCUAGAAUACGUUCCUUCAACAAUAGGCUCUUAAUCUAGAUCUUCACACCAAAAUAAACGUACCAGCACAUAAAUUUAUUUUACGGACCAGCAGGCACAUUUCUUCUAUACCAAUAGGAAAAGUACAAUCCCUCUCACGAAGACACAUAGCGGGUUUUGCACACCGCUUCGAUUUUGUUGUUCCGUUUUUGGCAUGGUUGAAUCCGGGUUUUCUUCGUAGUGAAGUAAGGUGGAAGAAGAUUAUUUCUUGGAAUAUAAGAUUGGGGUGUGUAACGGCGUGUCGAGGAGUGGAUCAACGAAAGGUACAGAUGCUCACGUUUGUAACCCGCCAGCUUAGGAGUCCUAUUCAGCUAUCUUGGAGUGCUCCCUUGUCCUGGAGCCUAGCUUUUUGGUACAGAUUCUCCUGUUGUAUAUAUGUGUCUAUUCAGGGGUACGGCGGGGCCCUGUCCCGUCAUAUGUUACUGUUGAUACUCUUAGAGGUCUGUAGACAUGUAUGUGGGUUGUAUUUUGAUGUGGUCAGUUGUGUAUAUGAUCAUUAUGCGUGUUCUAUCGCUGUAGCAGCCUUGUCUGCUUGCAUAGUAUAGCAACAUGUAUAGUGGCAGCCUCGUCGGCUUGCAUAUGUAAAUAUGAUGCGAUGUAAUUAGUCGAUGGCCUAUAGUAUCGGCCAAAUAAUGUUGACAGGUACGUAUGAGUGUCCAGCUCGGACACUAGUCAUGGCCCACGGGGCUGGGUCGUGACAUAAUCCUUGAAAACUUGUGUAAUAAAUGUAGAGAGAUGUUUUAGAGAG